GGGCCAUCUGAGUGCUUAUUGCACCACAUGUGUUUUUUAUUGAACAAAUUUCUUUGGUGGCGGGAGCAAUCCUACCGCCAGAGGUUAUAACUAAACCAAACUUUUUAUUUACAGUCAAACUUGAUUUAUUAUUACAAUAGUCAAAACUUUCAACAACGGAUCUCUUGGUUCUCGCAUCGAUGAAGAACGCAGCGAAAUGCGAUACGUAAUAUGAAUUGCAGAUAUUCGUGAAUCAUCGAAUCUUUGAACGCACAUUGCGCCCUUUGGUAUUCCAAAGGGCAUGCCUGUUUGAGCGUCAUUUCUCCCUCAAACCCCCGGGUUUGGUGUUGAGCAAUACGCUAGGUUUGUUUGAAAGAAUUUAACGUGGAAACUUAUUUUAAGCGACUUAGGUUUAUCCAAAAACGCUUAUUUUGCUAGGGGCCACCACAAUUUAUUUCAUAACUUUGACCUCAAAUCAGGUAGGACUACCCGCUGAACUUAAGCAUAUCAAAAAGCGAAGAAA
rnacentral:rRNA from 1 species